rnacentral:rRNA from 1 species
GACGAACCGUGCGAACGUUAUUCGGAAUCACUGGGCUUAAAGCGCGUGUAGGCGGAAGGGCACGUCCGUUGCUGAAUCCCCGGCUCAACCGGGAACGGGCGCGGAUACGACUCUUCUGGAGGGGCGUAGGGGGACCGUGGAACUUCCGGUGGAGCGGUGAAAUGCGUUGAGAUCGGAAGGAACGCCCGUGGCGAAAGCGAGGUCCUGGACGCCUACUGACGCUGAGACGCGAAAGCCAGGGGAGCGAACGGGG